CCCCCUACCAACGAACUGUCAACACUGAUGGAAUCGCCAUAAAACGAAGUUAAUGGCGCCAGGAUGAGAUAGAAGAUAAUCAGGUAAAGGAGGGAAGAUAAUCGGACAGUGCUAGUCAGGUACGUUGUAGUUGUAGCAAAUUUUACCUGAAAAUUCUCUGUCUCUCUCAUGUCUCUCUAGAAGUGCUAGAACCUCUCUCUUGUAUGUUGGCGCCUAUCUCGCUUCACUGUUGGAAUGGGACGGGGCCAUUCCAUCAGUGUUGACAGUUCAUUGCCCCCUACUCCCUGACAUACACUGGAAGGGAAAAAUUAAUCCUUAAAAAGGCAUGUAAUUCGAAAAAUAAAUCAUUUUAUUUCAACAAAUCAUCUUCCUCUUGGGUUUUUUGGAAAGAGAUCAACCUUUCCCUCUUCGGGAACCUAAGCCUCACAUCACCGGUGAUGCACACUUGAAGGCGAAGACAAUGACAUCCAGACUGCACAACCACCACCUCUAGCUGCAGGGGCCUUGGGCCGAAGAUCCGCCCAGGCCUACGAGAAGUCUACAACAGCAGUACCAUACGACAUCAAGAAGAUACCAUCAGCUACCAAAAGCCAUAAGUAUAAUCCAGAAUUGUUAGUUUUUGGCAAGAAUUUGAAUACAUUUGUUAAUGCAAUUUACUAAGUCAUUUUAUUUAUUAUAUCUUUAUGAACAAUAAACAUGAUUAGUUAAAAACUAUGUUUUGUUUGCUUCCAUUCCAAUUUUCAUAGUUCAUAUCUGAGGUUAGGACAAGACGAACACACACCUGAGUGACUGAGCUAAGCUAAGGGUGUAACGAUGGCUAUCUUGGUUAGUUGAGGUAAUAUUUUCGAAUGUUAUUUCAAUUAGCUGGGUAGUCCAUCGUUUACUCGUUACACUGGCGCCCAACGCACUUGUCUUAUCUGAAGAAUCGAGCUGUGAGUGUGUGGUUUGGUAGCAGACAACAAGCAUUAAUAAAUACUAUUUUCUUAUAUUUCAUUUUUAUAUUCAAUUUUUGCAGUAAAUCUAUAUAUAUUAUCUAUUUUGGUACUUUUUGACUACCUUUUUGACUAAUUUUUAUAUAUUUUCACAUGUUAUUGGUCAAAAAGUAUUACCAGUUUCAAUAAUUUAAUUAUAUAUUUCAGCAUAAUUGAUUUAAAAUACAUUUACAGUUGCAAAUAUUGGUAUAUUUAACAUUUGGAACUGUUUACCUACUUUUUUUUGGUUAAUUUUUAUGUUAGGACCUUGAUAGUAAUGUCCACAUGGCAUUUUUCCUGUUUUUUUCAAUUUAACCAGUUUUUUUUGGUAGUUCUUCUUUAAUUACUCUUAUUUUGUCGUAACUUUCCAAAACCCAAGAGAAUUUUUCCAUUUAUUGUCAUAUUUUCUGUACUUUUUAUACGUACUAUUUCUUCUACGUUCUUUUCAUAGGUACUUCUGUGUACUCUAAAGUGCAUUUAAAUCUUGUUUUAUUACUUAUUUUCAAUUACUUUUUACUUAUUCUUAUAUUUCCUAGUUGUUUUCAUAUAUUUAUUACCAAUUUUGUACAACUACCAAAAAUUUUGUUGUUUCCGUCGAACUUUCUGUUGGGAUGGUAUAUACUACUUUACUUGUAUAGUAAAGACUAGGACAAUUUUCAAGUUCUUUUCUUUCAUUGAGGUAUUUUAUUCUUAUUCUUCUUCUUUACGUAUUCAGAAUAUUAAUUUAAAUCAUUCUUCUUCUUCUUGUGUUGAAUCUCAAAAAAUUUUUUGUUCGUAAAGCAUCAUAUUUUACAUUUUUCAAUUUUUUGCAUUAUUGCACUUAUAUUAAUUAUGAUAAACAUUAUAUUUAACAUCUUUUUUAUUUAACAAUGCCCUAUUUAUCUAUAUAUUAUUGUUUUAUUAUUUUAUUUUGGGUGUUGUACUGAUUUUUGAUACAGAUUAGCACGAAAGCCUCAUCCGGCACUUAUAAGUUGUGUAUGGCUUAUAUAUAGCUGCAUAGACACCUAGUGUUUUUUUUCCUAGGGUACAUAUACCUAAGUUAUCCAUAGGGUUUGGCCAGAUCUAUUGAGUCUGAGUUCCGUUUUUUUGGUCUUAAUGACUGUUGAUAUACAGUUUAAUGCUGUAUAUUAUUUUUAGGAUGAUGUCUUUUAUAAAUUUUUUCUUUUGGAGUUCAAACAGUUCUAUGCAUAUCUACUUUUAGAAAUCUGGUGUAGAAUUGUGGCGCUUUGAAGUAUGAUUGUAGUUUAGCUACUAGCAUUUGUUAUUUUCCAUCUUUGCAAAUCAUAUUUAUGCAUUUUUAUACAUAUAUUUUGUUCUUUAGUGUAGAUCCCUGGUAUGCAUUUGAUGGAAGUAGCAUUUGCAUUAUGUAUCAUUAUCUCUCUCUUUAUUAACUUAUUGGUUAAGUCUUUUAGGACUGGUUUUAUGCAGUUUUUUUAAACCCUUUGGUGUAGAACUUUGUCUUAUUUGGCUUUCCAUAUAGUUAGUACUUAUUUUUUUUAAUAGUUUAUCUAUAGUUGCACUUGCAUUUCUUUUCAUUAUAUUAUACUUAUAUUACCUUUAUCUACUUAUAUGCUUUUACUCACCUUAUCAUAUUGAUUAUUAUAUUAUUACCUUACUUUAGGUACUUGUUAUCCGAGUACUUGUUAUUUUGUUCGAGAUUCAGUUGUUGUUAGUAGCUCCAAUAGCUAUUUAUUUAUUGUAUUUAGGAUGUGAUAUCCAUUAUAUUUACUUUUUGAUUAUAUGUCUUUUAUAUUAUAUAAAUACCUGAAUAUUUGCAAUUCAUUUUAAUAAAUAACAACAUUAUUUGGCUUUGAUUAACUUACUUACCUUUAAUUAAUUAUUACUUACUUGGAUUUUUAGUUGAAUUUGAUUAAUACUUACACUUUAUACUAUAAGUCUUUAUAUAUUUGAAUUGAUUUCAUACUUUUUAAAGUACAUCUAUUUUUUUUAUCCAGAGAUAGAUAUUCUCUGAUGUCAUUUAUUUAUAAUAAAUAUUUUAUAGUGUGAUGAAUGCUACAAUUCAUUGGGUAAUAUUUUUAUUUUCCCCAGAGUAACAUCUGAAAAUUAUUUUGGUACUUUAAAAUUUUUAUGAUUAAUAAUUUAAAUUAACUAUAUACAUUGACUUAAUAUUUACUUUAUUAUGAGUAUUUAUUUUUGAUUUGUUCUGAACGAUUACUACUGCAUAUAUUUAUUUCUGGUUAGAACUAUGAUUUCUUGUUUUCCUUGAGAAAAAUUUCUCACCUGUGUUCGAAAUUUUUCGGAUGCGUGGAGGGAGUGUGUAACAUUCCUGUUUUCUGUGAGAAAAAUUUCUCACGUGUGUUCAAAAUUUUUCUGAUGGGUGAGAGGAGUGUGUAACGUUACAAACGUCACAUCUUUGAUAUUUUAUUUUUAAAUAAUUAUUUUACCAUAUUUCCUUUAAUAUUUCAUUAAUAAUUAUCUUCUUCUAAUUGGUUUACCCAUUUUCCCCUUUAAAAAUCGGUUGGCGCUCUCUUUUAUUACCCUCUUUUAUUAUCUUCUAUUUAAUAUAUCUCUUUCAUUUAAAUCAUCAUACUGAACAUACCUCGUAUAUUCAUACUCCCCAAAUAUCUGUAUUUUCAAUACGGAACAUGCCGCUACUUCAUAGUACUUGGUUGUCAUUUUAAACGUCGUUUUCAAUAACAGUGUCACUUCAUCGACUUGACCCCCUACUCCCUGACAUACACUGGAAGGGAAAAAUUAAUCCUUAAAAAGGCAUGUAAUUCGAAAAAUAAAUCAUUUUAUUUCAACAAAUCAUCUUCCUCUUGGGGUGAGCUACAAAUAGUUUUUUUUUAAUAAUUUCUUACAGUAAUUAUAUUUCUCCAUCUAACAGUUUUUAUAUUGUUUUUUUAUCUAACCUAACUUCCAAUGUCAGACCAUGUGUUCUGAUAUUUUAGUUUCAAAUAUAAUUUAUCUUUUAAUUUACAUGUAUGCACGUUUAGUAAUCAGAAUUUUAACUAUUCUCAUCUAAAUUUCAUUUGAUUUAUUCUUGUCAUCUGCUACUCUUUCUGACGAUUAGAACGGCAGAUGGCACACGUUGGUUUUUCUUCUUGAUGAUUGAUAUGUGUCUCUAUUUUAUAGUUUUUUGGAAAGAGAUCAACCUUUCCCUCUUCGGGAACCUAAGCCUCACAUCACCGGUGAUGCACACUUGAAGGCGAAGACAAUGACAUCCAGACUGCACAACCACCACCUCUAGCUGCAGGGGCCUUGGGCCGAAGAUCCGCCCAGGCCUACGAGAAGUCUACAACAGCAGUACCAUACGACAUCAAGAAGAUACCAUCAGCUACCAAAAGCCAUAAGUAUAAUCCAGAAUUGUUAGUUUUUGGCAAGAAUUUGAAUACAUUUGUUAAUGCAAUUUACUAAGUCAUUUUAUUUAUUAUAUCUUUAUGAACAAUAAACAUGAUUAGUUAAAAACUA
rnacentral:lncRNA from 1 species